rnacentral:rRNA from 1 species
CGUUCCCGGGUCUUGUACACACCGCCCGUCACACCACGAAAGUCGGCAAUACCCGAAGCCGGUGGCCUAACCCGCAAGGGAGGGAGCCGUCGAAGGUAGGGUCGAUGAUUGGGGUG